GAUGAACGCUGGCGGCGUGCUUAACACAUGCAAGUCGAACGGUGAAGGCGGAGCUUGCUCUGCUGGAUCAGUGGCGAACGGGUGAGUAACACGUGAGCAAUCUGCCCCUGACUCUGGGAUAAGCGCUGGAAACGGCGUCUAAUACUGGAUACGAGCUGCGAAGGCAUCUUCAGCAGCUGGAAAGAAUUUCGGUCAGGGAUGAGCUCGCGGCCUAUCAGCUUGUUGGUGAGGUAAUGGCUCACCAAGGCGUCGACGGGUAGCCGGCCUGAGAGGGUGACCGGCCACAAUGGGACUGAGACACGGCCCAGACUCCUACGGGAGGCAGCAGGGGGGAAUAUUGCACAAUGGGCGAAAGCCUGAUGCAGAAACGCCGCGUGAGGGACGACGGCCUUCGGGUUGUAAACCUAUUUUAGCAGGGAAGAAGCGAAAGUGACGGUACCUGCAGAAAAAGCGCCGGCUAACUACGUG
rnacentral:rRNA from 1 species